UCCAUUCCGCAACACCUGGCAGUGUAUAUACUACAAGGGACCCCAGCGUUCACACUGGGGAAGGGAUGGGUAGGGUCAGUACAUCCCAGGCACGGGCCUGUGACUGUGACAGCCAAUCACAGCCUGUGGCUCACCAGAGAAGUUUGUCAGCACAGAAAUGUCAUUUUGAGCAGAUGUGUUUUCUGUUUUUGUCAUACAAUGUCGAGAGACGGAAGGGUUGUCCCAGGAUGGGAGUUUUAGCGAGAGUUUUAAGUUCAACAGAGAACUAACCAGGAGCGGUGCCUCCAAGCCUUCCUGAAAAACAGGCCUGCCCUCCCGCAGACCCAGGAUCCUAUUCUGCCUCACAAACCACUGCCAGCUGAGUUCUAAUUGCAGAAUCUUCAUUACCAGGGAUGAUUGAAACUAUAAAAAGAACCCAGCUGAAUUUUUCACAUCCUGCUGGGUGAGCACAGAGACCGACUCUCCUGCUCCUGCCCGCCUCCUCCUCCCAGCAAUUAUCCCCGGUACAUGUGUGGUCCAGCUUCUGCAGGACACUCCGAGCACUUGAUCGAGGUUACCUCAAUUUCCUCGGAGCCUCUCUCCGUAGAAGGUGGUCUUAAUACCAUGAGAGAUAUGCCUGGCCUCCCUUCACGGCUGCAGAGACAAGAGCAUCAUUGCUUUACCUCCCCAACUAAGUAUCUUGCCUGACGUCACCCAGAGGUGUGUGGCCAGAAGGAUAGCAGACUUUUCUCUUGGCCCCCUAGGCCUUCAUGACAAUAUAUGCGUAACUCUA